AAGUUACAGUAUUCCUGGCGAACUACUCGGACACGAGCAUGUAACAACGAUCACAAGCGACUGGAUCUCCCGGGCUACAAGUUCUCUUGCCGCGGGAAGAAAGCUUCACCCGAGGCUGAAACCGCCGAUUGCCAUUGAGACGCUGCGGAGGAAGUGCUGGCUGGCCGAUUAGGCGAUGGGGAGCCUCUAGCGUUUCUCGUCCCGUUCCCGUAUUGCUGCUGUUGCUGAAAUGCAAAAUCUCCAGAGAUCCGCGGACCGCGAUUAAAAAGAGCUGCUAAUCCACCAGUGUAAGGUGGAAGAGGAGGCAAAUGGUUAAGGACGACGCGAGCGAGAGAAGAUGCUCGGAAGCAGCGCAAUUACUACGAUUCUCUGGAUCAAGAUCGAGGAACGUGCCACCUUGCGGAUGUGGAUGGCUCACUGGCGUCUGAUACUGCGAGU